rnacentral:lncRNA from 1 species
AGAGCCGAGUCAGCCAUAAAGCUACGCGCUAGGCUCUUGGCCCUGACGUGAGGCGCGCAGAGAUGGCGUAACGGGAAUAGUUUUCAACGUCUAUUUCAUUCCCUGCUUCAGAGGACCUCUUUAAUCUUUGAUUUUGGUCCCUGUUUCUAAGAAAAGCAACUGAAAAGGUCGUAAUACCGCCCCUGAGAAAAAAGGAGCAGCGCUAAAUAAUCGAGAAAAUGCCUCCUCUUGAAACGGAUAUAGAGAUGGAAACAAGAUAUAAGAAGGAUUGAGAAUCAUAUAAUACAGGAGCUUAAACACCUAUGCGCGAUGAUAAAGAGGGUACUAUUAGAGCGCUUGGAAAAUACCAGGAAGUUGAGAGAGUUAACAGAAGGGCGCACGCUGGAUUGGCCACAAAAUCGAAUUACUGAAGUAAGUGCAAAACGACAAAUUGUCACAGAAUACAGAGAAAAGGGGAAAAGAAAUUAAGAGGAGAAAAAGAGAGAUCUAGAGGGCCGGUCCAGGAGAUACAAUCUAUGCAUAAUAGGAAUACCUGAAACUGAGGACAGAGCAAGUGGAGCUGAAACAAUAAAGGAUCUACUUGAAAAAAUUUUCCAGAAUUGAAGAACGAACUAGAUCUACAAAUGGAAAAGGCUCAUAGGAUACCUUUAAAGUUUAAUGAAAAGAAAGCAGCAUCUAGACAUAUCCGGGUGACGUUUUUGAAUUUCAAAGACGAAACAUUUUACAAGCAUCCAGUCAGAGAAAGCAGGUUACUUACAAAGGGGCAAAAGUCAGGCUGACCUCAGAUUUUUCUCCUGCAAUUCUAAAUGCCAGAAGACAGUGGAACAAUAUCUAGAGUGUUAAGGGAAAAUAAUUUUGAGCCAAGAAUUAUAUACUCUGCCAAGUUAUCAUUUCUUUACAAAGGAAACUGGAAGACAUUCUUAGAUAUACAGGGGUUAGGAAAGUAUAUCAACCAAGAACUUUCCCUGAAAAUUUUGCUGAAGGAUUUACUGCAGCUAACAGAGAACCUGAAUUAAAAUAAGAAUAGGGAGGCAAUUGUAUGAAAGAACUGAUGGUAUGCAUUAAAACUAGUUAAGGAGCAUUAAGUUUAAAUUGUUAUGUAUAGGGCAUUAAAACUAAAUACAAAAAUAGAAACAUAAGCUGGGUGUAAAAUUUCAGUUUACGUUUAAACUGGAAGGGCAUACCACAUGUUCAAUAUAUUGGACAAAUACUGUUUUAUUUUUAGCAUGUAGUAUUGUAGAUACAAAUACGCAUGUUCUUAAGCUAAACCUAAGUAAAAGGGCUUUGUCACUGUAGAUUUGACAAAUAACAUUCUAAAUGUCAAAUCUGACAAUUGGAAAACAGUACAGUUUUAUUUCCCUUAUUUUUAAGUAUAGCAGGAAAAAAAUAACAAGUUUGUCCAUGUUACUACUGAUACUGUAAAGAAACUUCCAAAUCACUGGUUUGGGAGGGGGUGGAUACAUCCUCAUUUUCUGUACAUGAUGCAUGGGGAAAAACAGUAGUUACUGCAUCAUAUAGUUCCAAGUAAAUCAUAUAGUUCCAAGUAAAUUUGACAUGGAAAUAAGUGUUAACUACAAAAAUAGAAUAUAUACAUUCCAAUGUUUGGAAAAGAAGUGGUAAAAAGAAAAAUAGCAAAAAGACACUAAAAUUAGCAAAAAGUAGAUUGACAGUACAGAUGACCUAUAAACUGGUUAAAUAGCCCUAUUACAAUUGAAAUUGGGUCAAAAAUCAAUCUCUAACCUGAGAUACAUUUGUAUAAAACAAAUGAUCAAAGAGUUUAAAGAUAAUGGAAACUAUAAAUCAUAGAAAUGGCAACAUUUUUCUUAAAAUCUAAACAUAAGACAUUUUAUGUAAAACAUACAAUAUAGGAUGUAACAUUUAACAAACUAUAUGGUAAAUAAUAUGACAUUAAUAUAUAAAAUAUAUGUUCCAGAUCUUGAUGUGGGUGAUAGUUUUACUUAUGUACAUCGAUAUACAUCUAUUUAAAAACAUGUACAUUUAAAUUGUUGCAUUUUAUGUAUUUAAAAUUUAUUGAGUAAUCCUUCUGUAUGUAUUAUUAAAGAGAAUAUAGCAAAAAAA